AACUGACGCAGCAACGCGGUGUGAGGGAUGAAGGCUUUCGGGUCGUAAACCUCUGUCGGAAGGGAAGAACGGGCAUUGGUCUAAUAGGCCUUUGUUUUGACGGUACCUUUAGAGGAAGCACCGGCUAACUCCGUGCCAGCAGCCGCGGUAAUACGGAGGGUGCAAGCGUUAUUCGGAAUUACUGGGCGUAAAGCGCGCGUAGGCGGCCUUAUAAGUCAGAUGUGAAAUCCCACGGCUCAACCGUGGAACUGCCUUUGAAACUGCAGGGCUUGAAUCCUGGAGAGGGUGGCGGAAUUCCUGGUGUAGGAGUGAAAUCCGUAGAUAUCAGGAGGAACACCGGUGGCGAAGGCGGCCACCUGGACAGGCAUUGACGCUGAGGUGCGAAAGUGUGGGGAGCAAACAGGAUUAGAUACCCUGGUAGUCCACACCGUAAACGAUGGAUACUAGGUGUCGGGGCUUGAUCUUCGGUGCCGUCUAUCGCGU
rnacentral:rRNA from 1 species